rnacentral:lncRNA from 1 species
GCGGGAGGGAGACCUGGGAGGGGAACAAGGGAAAGAGAAGGAGUGUCAGGAUUUUCAGGACAGGAAAAUACAUUCCUUUCUUCUCGACAAGCCUCUCCCUAUGAUGACAUCUUCCUGUCUUGACGGUUUACUUCCUCACAUAAACUCCCCACAGAUGACGCAGACACCCCCACAGGACUUAGGUUGUGAACACCUGAAUUCGUUGUGCUUAAGGAGCUGCAGAAGAGGGCGGCUCCAGGUCGCCGACCCCUGGGAAAGGUGGAUAAUGGAGUAACGGGACGGGAUGCUGUUACUAAAAAAUUUCCUCCAACACAACAGGAUCUGUCAGAUCGAGAGAUGAGUUCUCCUGUAGCUUCAGCUUUAACAGGUACUUUUUCAUUGGGACUUGAAAUGAAAAUAAGGUAAGUCAGUGACAGUAUUUACAUGUGCUGAAGACAUGCAAAACACGUGUUUGGCAGAUUUAUGGAUUUUCAUGAACUCACCAGCGUAACAAAUGAAGGGUUUCUUUUCAUUGCAGUUCCUGUCAUCCCACUGUCCAAGCGUUGUAAAAUCUGCUGCUACACAGCUCUCAUUUUGGCGUAGGUAAUUAUCAGGUCUACGACUUAGCCAGUUCCUGAAUGAGGAGUUACUUCCAUCAGCCCAUUUCCAAGUGUCUCUAUAAAGACCGAUCCAGACCCCUUUCCCAGCAGGCAGCAGCUCCAUGAUCUUCUGGUUCUCUUCCAUGUUUCUCACGCUGGCCAGGUCUGUGUGAUGUUCUCUGCAGAACAUUAGGGCCUCAGACCAAGUCAUAGUCUUGUUGAUGUAAACAAACGUUACAUUGAGUCCUGUGGCAGAGCAGAGAGACUGUUGUGAAUUCCAAACAGCAUUUCACCAUUCCCACGAAAAAUGAGACUUCACAUGGACGUGCUGAUUCAGUCUAAGUUGCAUCGCUUCGUCAAGAAACAGUUCUGGACGUCUUUAGAACGUACAAACUAUAAUUUUUUGACGUCUAAAAAUGACAUCAAAAACACAGGCAUGUAAAAUACACAAACUGAAAGGACAGUACAAGUGUACAACAGGCUUACGAGUGGAAUGUAUUAGAUCUUACCUGUCACAUUACAGCAGAUUGGUUCUAUUAAGAUGUCACAGGGUACAUCGUUCCAUUUACCAUUAUCAGGAUGGCUGAACAUUGUACAGGACUCACGGCUCCAGUCGUUGUUUGGCUCUGCAACUUUCCAGUUUCUGAAGUUAGCAUCACCAUUUUUGUAGAAGUUUGGGUCUGACAUCGUCCAUUUCCAGCCGUUUACAUCGUCGUACAGUCCAAUCCAGGCCAUCUAAAAAGACAAAUUGAUUUGGUUCCCAAAUAAAAGUCCUGUUUUACUGUCCUCAGGGGUGUUGGGAGUAACUUAUUACAAAGUUAAUGUAUAACAGCAACAUGUCACUUAUCAUUAUUACAAAGCAUAGUUAAUCACUACUGAAUUUUGCUAUAUUGUAUUGAUUACAAGUAGUGACUUGUGUACUUUAACAGUUUGAGGUCCAAAAUGGAAUUAUUCAACAUGGGAAGUGUUGAGACAAAGCUAGGUUGGUAGUAGUCAACUUGAACCUGGUGUGACUGUGACAUGGAGAAUGCAAAAGCAUAACAUGAAAACUAAAUUUAAAACAAACCAAACAAGAGAAAAAAAUAUGACUGUCACUGAGCCAUAUUGCUGUGAGACUUUAGAGCUAAACACUUAAAGGGGCCGUGCCCUGAUUUUCUUAAGCCUUUCAAAGUAAACUAUAUUCAUAUUAAUUAUCAUAUAUUACCUUUGGAACACUAAAAAACUGAUUGUUUAUGAAACAUGAGUUAUUUUUGUGGACUCUUUUCAAGUAAAACGACUCGAUUCCUGAGGCUCCUCGUCAGUCCCGCCCAUUUCAUGACGUCAUCCUAGAGCCUGUGUUUUUCUACAUGCCUGUGCGUGUCUGCGCAUCCAAACAAACAAUUUCCGAACUUUGGAUUUGGAUAUUUUGGAGUUUUACUCCCAAAGGAAUUGCAGGACACACAAGGCUCAUUCAACCCAAAAACCCACAGCACAAAUACGGGUCAACCCCCUGAAGGUUGUAUGUGACUAGGGCUUUACUGAAAUGAACCUCCUUAGCAAGAUUUGACAAGAAGGGAACACAUUUCUGUUUUUAACCCUCUCAGGGCCAAAUUAAGUUUUAGUUGCAUAAAAAAGAGAGGAGAAAAUUUAUCAUAUGGGUUUGUAACAUACAAUUCUGACUUUUUUUUGAGAGACCUUCACAUCCAAUGAAAUGUUGCAGAUUUGCAACAUUUGGACGUCUUGAAAUUUCAUACUUGAAAGUCUUUGUUGCUAAUCCACCACUAAAUCCUGCAGUAAUACUUCUGAUUAAAAAAGGCUCAUAAAAUAUGAAUUUGGAGUAAUUGGGUAUCUAGCAAUUAGCUGUUGCAAAUCUGCAAUGCCGCCCCGGGACGGUUAAUCUGUGCAUCUGGAAAAUACAAUCAGAUUAAAGAGAAUUAUUUUGAAAACAAAGGACUGUUUUUUUUUACCUCUUGAACUUCCAGGCCUCUCAGAAUAUUCAUGUCUUCCAUAUUGUCCACUGUGGCCAGAUCAGUAAACUUCUCUCUGCAGAAACUCUGAGCCUCAGUCCAGGUCUUUGUUUCAUUAAAAACAAGGUAGUGGUGUUGAGCCGCAGAGAAGGGACCACACAGGGCUGCAAAAUACACAGAGACAUGUUAAUCAGAAGUGAACUAAAAGGUAUGUAACCCUUAUGCUAUCUUAAGUAUGUUGACGUUAGGAGUCGGGUCAUCUGGACCCCACAAGACAGCGCGCUGAACUAUUUUUUUCAAUGAUUUUUUAUUUUCACUUGUGUCCGUGGCAGACAUGA